rnacentral:rRNA from 1 species
GACGAACCGAGCGAACGUUGUUCGGAAUCACUGGGCUUAAAGGGCGCGUAGGCGGGUGCUCAAGUCCGUGGUGAAAUCCUCCGGCUCAACCGGAGAACUGCCUCGGAUACUGGGCGUCUCGAGUGUGGUAGGGGUAUGCGGAACUAUCGGUGGAGCGGUGAAAUGCGUAGAGAUUGGAAAGAACACCGAUGGCGAAGGCACUUUACUGGGCUAUUACUAACACUCAGAGACGAAAGCUAGGGUAGCAAAUGGG